CUUGCGGUCAUAUCACGUUGAAACACCAGUUUUUGUACGAUCAACGAAGUUAAGCAGCGUCACGCAUGGCCAGUACCUAGAUGGGUGACCAUUUGGGAAUAACAGGUGCUGC